GAUGAAGAACGUAGCGAAAUGCGAUAAGUAAUGUGAAUUGCAGAAUUCAGUGAAUCAUCGAAUCUUUGAACGCACAUUGCGCCCCCUGGCAUUCCGGGGGGCAUGCCUGUUCGAGCGUCAUUACAACCCUCAAGCUCUGCUUGGUAUUGGGCUCUGCUGGGACCGGCAGGCCUUAAAAUCAGUGGCGGCGCCACUCGGCUUCAAGCGUAGUAAUUCUUCUCGCUUCGGAGACCCGGGUGCGUGCUAGCCAGCAACCCCCAACUUACUUAGGUUGACCUCGGAUCAGGUAGGGAUACCCGCUGAACUUAAGCAUAUCAAUAAGCGGAGGA
rnacentral:misc_RNA from 1 species